AUGCCCAGGGCUCAGCCACGACCAUGGGCUGCGCUGGGAAAGGGAAUGGGGCCAAAGGGGCCCAGCAUGGCCCAUGGGAACGUGUGGGCAGCAGCAGGAGGAACCACGUCAGCCCCACAAACACCUCCACCGGGGCAGGAGGAAGCGGCCGGCAAGCGCGGUGACGAGGAGGAGGAGGAGGAGGGGAGGAAGGGGAAGGAGCCGCAGCCUCCAAGGGAACCUCCUGGCCCGCACAGACCCAGGCUUUGGGCUGGGAAAUGCAGCACAGAUCCCAGCGGGGCUGAGCGGCAGCACCCCAAGCUGCAGGCCACCCCUUACCCCACGCUCUCACAUCGUUCUGCACAGCUCUGCACCCCCAGCGGUGCCGGGCACUGUGCUGCAGCCCGGCCUGGAGAAGAGGAACCAACUGUGCUGCGGCACACACAGCACCCACGGGGCCGGAGCUCGCGGCUCCCAGCCCCAAUCCCAGCUGUGGGGCCGGCGUCGGGCGGCACAGUGGGGCAGGUGGCCGCGAAGGAGGGGAGGGGACGAGAGGAUGUGGGGACAGCGGCAGAGGUGGCGGGGUGGGACACAGCCAGGCUGCAACAGCACGGGAGCAUCGCCCCAGAGCAGCCAUCCCGGUGGGGCGGUGGCAAUGGGGACGUGGUGGCACCCCAAUGGGGACAUGGCGGGGCACGAUGGGGACAUGGUUGGAUGCGAUGUUCUUCGGCCACAGAGCAGCCAAGAAGUCCCUUCCCCUGCCCGUCCCUAUGUGGGGGCUGGGGCCACCGAGUGCUCGCCCCAGGAGGCGGUGGGGCAUUGCGUGUGCCCCCCCCCCUCCCCCCCCGCAAAUACCCUGGGGCAGAAGGGGAUGAGAUGAACCGCCCCAAACCACCCCAAAGCGUUUGGCCCUCAGCAAACCCACCUGCCCUGCCCCAGAGCUGGGGGUGCCUCUCGCCCCGUGCCCCAGAGCUGAUGCCCGUGGCACGGCCGUGCCCCCAUCGCCCCCCACCUCCCAGCCCCACCGCUGGCAAUGAGAGCAGGAUUUCCGCUGGAAGAAGAGCAAUUCCCGGAUCCGAGGGGGCUGCAGGGGGGGGGGAAGGCCCUGCCAGGGCUGCAAAUACAAUGUCCCGGGAGGAGCAGGGCGGGGAGGGAAUUGUGCGGGCAGGAAGCAGCCAGUUCCUGCCCGGGACGCACCGCGGGAUGGGGGUGCGGGGGGGGGCACCCCACGUGUGA
rnacentral:lncRNA from 1 species